GACUGGCUGCUGCGAUGAGAAUUUGACUCUGUCAGGUUCAUGGAAAUCGCAUCGGAGAUUUUUCAAAAAAUUUCAUCAUUGCAAUGAUAGAUGGAAAUGAAUUUCCGUCCUUAGCACACGCAACGAUCACUAGCUGCCCUGCCCGUUCGCGAAGGCCGCUUUCAAAGCUACCAAACAUCCGCAGGUAUAAAAAAUGGCGUAGGGAGCUAGUGAGCCACAGUACGGUUUGAAACUCUGAUCAAUCAUGAAGUUUCUCAUCGUUUCUCUCUUCGUCGCUGCAGCAUGCGUCUUGGUGCUGGCUCAGGAGCCCAGCAAUAAUCCUGAGCAGAAUCUGGCACAAGCUUCAGUACAAAAUCCAGUGGCUGCAGGUGUACCUGCUCAGGAGGACACAACAACAACAACAACAACAACAACUAAGAAACCAAAGAAAUCGCUGAAGAGGAAACUGAAAAAGCCAGCAAAAGUGCCAAGGAAGCCAAAAAAUGAAGGUAGAAACAGCAAAAGAAGAACCACUGCUUCUUCCACCACUACCUCCACCACAGCCAGCCCCUGAAUAAAACUUAUAACUUGUUAAAAUUUGGUUGAUAAUUGCAUGGGAAAAUAAAUUCGAUUUUAGGUGGAAACAAUCGGUGUAUUAUUUGAAUCACAAUGAAAUAUCCCUGCAUUUUUAGAUAUGGCUAGUAUGGACUUUUACCAUUCUUGCCUUUUUUGUAGAUAUGAUAUAUUAUAACAUUCUUUUUAGGUAACAACGAAUUAUCCUUCUUGUCCUCCAAUCGGACUAAAUAUUUAACUCCUAUUUACCCUUGCAAGAUUUAUGCAAAAUUUAUCAAAGAUACUGAAUUUAAAAGGCAAAUUGCAAAGUAGACAGUAUCCAAAAGUCAGAGGUGACAGAGCAGGUUAUGCCAAUAUUUUUACUACUUUAAAUUUUACAACUAUUUACUAUUCUAUUGUUAAUCAGCGAAAAGCAUUGCUGCCAUACGGUUUUUCGGCAACGAGCUCCUUCCCUGAUUUAAUAAAUUCCAAUGGUGGGGGUUCCCUUGAGAAAUUUAGUUUUAUGAAAUUGGCCUGAUCUCGUCAGGCUGAUGGGAUGAAGGGCAAAAGACUAAAAAUGGCCGGGAGGAAUUUUCCUUUUGAACUUAAAAUCAUUUUUCUUUAGACAAAUGAAAUAUAUUUAAAAAAAUUAGAUGAAAGUGUGAAACCAUUUGCUGGUGAGAUGAACAAAACCAUAAAUAUAUCAUAUAUUGAGAUUACCAGACAAAUAAAAAAGAUGGUGAAAUUUGCUCAAAGAAAAUGAUUAUGAAUAAAUGAAAUCUUUACUGUAAACUUAAAAAGUGUAUAUACAACAGACAAAUUAAAGAAAAUUUUCUCAACGUUCACCACUCUGUUUUAUUUUUGGCAGCUUGAGAAAAGAGUUAUUGUUUUUAUCAUAGUCAAGUUGUCAAGUUGAUGGUAAUAGUUAAUUGGUCACAGAGUUUGCACUAAAAAUGAAGUAAAAUAUUUCAAUUCCAAUGGAGGGUUUGAAAGUUUCAGAAAUGGUUUUGUCCUGAUCGUGGAAAAAUGCGUCGGACAUGAAAAUUUCUGAUUUGAAGUGUUCGCAAUAUCGUUUCCGUGAAGCCAAACAGUCAGCCAUGUUUUGAUAGCAUCCGUUUGAUUCGACCAUGGUGCAACACUUGCGUCAUUGUUGCAUUGUCAACUCACUUUAGCGAUAUAAAAUAGGUCUGCUGCGAAGAGAAUAAAUAUGCGUUUGUUUUUCUUCGCCGUGCUUCUGUUUCUUGGUUUGGUCACACUUUCGAUGGGUCAGAGUUCAGGCAAUAAAAAGGUCGUCGGCAAACUUCGCGAUGCAGCGAAGUCUAUGAAAUCGAUUGCUGACAAGAUUGAAGAUUUGGACUCAUCCAGUAAACAAUGAUGGAACUUCAGAAUUUUGUUUGAUAAAAAAUAAAAAAUAAACUCCAUGAAUUAUUGAUUGAUA